rnacentral:rRNA from 1 species
UACGUAGGGACCCGAGCGUUAUCCGGAUUUAUUGGGCGUAAAGCGCGCGUAGGCGGCCGUUCGCGUCGGAUGUGAAAGCUCGGGGCUCAACCCUGAGAGGCCAUUCGAUACGGGACGGCUUGAGGCAGCUAGGGGAGAGUGGAAUUCCCGGUGUAGCGGUGAAAUGCGCAGAUAUCGGGAGGAACACCAAUGGCGAAGGCAGCUCGCUGGGACGGUACUGACGCUGAGACGCGAAAGCGUGGGGAGCAAACAGGAUUAGAACCA